AGGUGCCACUCCUACAAGUGUCUCCUCAGUGCCAGAAGAAGAGACCACUUUUUUUUCCUCUCAGAUGUUCGGUGCCACUCCUACGAGUGUCUCAUCAGUGCCAAGAGAAGAUACCACAAUUCUAUCCUCUCAUACGUUCGGUGCUACUCCUACAUGUGUCUCCUCAAUUCCAAAAGGAGAAUCCACAACACUUUCCUCUGAGACAAUUAGUAAGCAUCUAUAACUUGUUAUAUAAAUGCAGGGCCUCUGCUAGGAUUGUGGCCACCUCUUAGUUUUAUUUAAAAGUGCCACCCCUUCUCCCAUUAAAAAAAAUUCAUUUAGACUAAGCUAAAGACUGUAUCUAAAACGCUCUUUGAUUUAAAUCCAUUUUUGUAGACCAUUUUGUUUUCCUUUCAUAAUCCCAUUGUUUUUGUAUCCCAUUCCCUUUAAGACAGCGGUUCUCAACCUUUUAAGCUCGGCAACCCCUUUUUACAAUCCCCACUCUGCGGC
rnacentral:sRNA from 1 species